GAGAGUUGUUAUCCGGUUAGUUUCUUCUCAGAUGGAUGGAUCUUGCUUGUACUUUCUUCCUAUGCGGGGAAAAGGAAAGUCCCUUUUUCUGUGAUUCGAGUUUUCUUUCAAGAAAUAAAACCAUGGUGGCUUCUGCUACUUCGAUGUUUGUUUAGUCUCGAUUUUCGUUUUACUUGCUUUAUCUGCUUUGACAAGUUCUUGUUGUUGAACGAGAAAAGAAGCUCCUUUUGAUUCAUAUCCUUUCACACUCUCCUACAUCUGCUGCCCCAUUCCACACCGGAGAUAAAGUAUAACGAGUAGUAGAGGAUUAUUUGCACUGCGCACACAUAACUUGUGCUACCUUUGCACAAAAGCUCGCCAUUGUUAUUUUGCAGCUCAUCUAUCACAAGCAGAUAUAUACAUAUAUACUAGAUGAGCAGCAGCACAGCUGUUAAAUCAUUGCUAGCUUCUCAUGCAUGUGAAGUGAUGUGGCAGGCGAUUGGGACUUGGAGUUGGAGGAGACUACCAUCACUGCCAUGUGCAGGUUGCAUGCAUGAACGAACACUGUCUUUCUACCACCGGCCAAUAAGGAAAUUCCAAACAUUAUUCCGGGUCAGCAUGAGCUCCCAUCAUGUAAAGUUGGCGUUCCAAAUCUGUAAUUUCCCUCUCUUCGAUGAAAGCAUGCAUGUGAAAAUACAACAGCACUGUGAUAAUAACUGGAGUAACAAAGCGUAAUGUGUAUAGAUCUGAGUUUCCUGAUCAAGAUUAGCACUAAACUCGGAAUUACCACAUACGCAUGACCAAAGUUCAGAUGCAGAGAUUUUGGCACGAAAAUUUUAUGGCAAACUGAGUUGGAUUUUGCUAGAUUAAAACUACACAAGAACCGGUGCAGGUUUUUGAUCACUUCAUUUGUGCAAGCAGCUUUAUUUGUUUCCUGCGUGCCUCAUUAUUGCUAACUCUAGCAGACAUAAAGCACACAAAGGAAAAUAAAGAAGAGGCCAUAAACUAAAAGGCUUUAAGAAAAGAUGUCUAAUAAAUGGCUAUGUUUGGGUAAGCAAGAUAAUAAAGGGCUCAGCAAAGGAAAGGAGGCCGCAGCUCUGGUCAGCAGUAGUGUGGCCUUUUGCCUCUCAUGGCCCUCCUCACUCUCCCUCCUCUUUAUCUCUCCUGCCAAGUGCUGAUCCCUUCCCUUCCCUCCCCUUUGCAUUAAACCACUUUACCCUCACGCUGCAGGAGUACAAGAAACGAUAGGAGGCCGGUGGAGGGGAACAAUAGAUUAGUCUUGCCUUUUCAGCUAGAUUAUCUCUUCACAUGCUAAAUUUCACAGGUAUUUGUGCGGCAGUAGUUGUGUGAUGGUUGUGAUCUGGUUCGUUUGUGCUUAGACCGAUGGAUCUUGUUUGAUACUCUGUCCCUUUGGGGUGGGGGGGGGGGGGGGGGAUCCCUUUCUGUGCUUUCAGUUCUUGUAAGAAAAUCCAUGGUGGGCUUCUGCAACUUCGAUGCUUUCUUUCUUUCUUUAGACUUGAUUUCCGUUUUUCUUGCUUUCUUUUUGUUUGUAUCAGGGCAUUCUUUCCCUGCGCUACUAUGCUUUGGAAGGUUUUAGCUUUUGGUUCCGAGAUUUCUUCUCCUAGCAGAAGAGCAGCUCGAUCGGUAGAGCUUUGAUCUUGGACAUGAGGGGGGGGAGGCAAGACGUUAUAUGUCCAGCUAACUCUUGUCAGCUUCUUGCUUUGUGAAUAUUUUUCCUUAACCAAAUUUUAUUCUUGGAUAAAGUUAGUUUGCAAGAUUGAGUUGCUAUUUUUACAUCUGAUCCUUUAUCUGCUUCGACAAGAGAAAAGAAGCUCCUUUUGGUUCAUAUCAGUGGCUUGCUGUUGUUCCAGGUUUUCAUUUCUGAGCUUUUUUUUUUUGGAAGUAACUUUUUGAGCUUCUUUGCCCCCCAACCAUUCUUGUAUUCUUUUGGCUAAUUUCGUUGGAUCUCUUGUGGUUACACGAUCUUCUUGCCUUGCAUCUGUGUGUUCCUUUCCCAGCCGGGAGAAGGGUUGGCUGAUAGAGCAAGUCUGCCAGGCACCGAUCAGUCCAAAUCAUGACAUUAAUUCAUAACCAGGCAUCGAUCUUCCCAAAUUCUCUCUCUACUUUUUGAAGCGCGAGAAAUAAAUUUGUGAUCUUUUAGUAGGUAUUUAUUAAGCACAUAUUUAUUCAUAUUAAUUGCAUUACAUUAAUUCAUAUGAAACUGUACCCUGGAAUUCAUGCACUACCUUCAAGUGUUUAUAUUGCGUCCACCUAGUCCAUUUUUCUAACCAUUACAAUACAUCACAUAAAACUCAAAAGUGACCUAUUUCAUUCAUCAGCAAACAUCCAUGGCGAAAGCUACUAAGCUGUUUCUCGGUAGUGUGAUCCUUCUUCUCUACACUGGCCUCUUCAUCCAAGGUGCAACUGAGUACGCCGAUAUCAUGGAACACAUCCCUACCCAAUCCAUGAAGACACCCGAUCCAUGGGGUUCUUUGGCUCCCAUUCAGUACAGGAAAGUUUGUGCACCAUGUACUUGCUGCCCGGGGAAUUCCAGCAAAAGCUGCUAUGCUGCAAAUAAAUGUUGCAGGUUGCUCACAUGCAACGGGCCGAAUCAACCAAUAGGUACUUGUUCAAUAGAAGUCCUAGCUUGCAACUGUAACAAUUGCGUGUAACCGGUGCUUUCUUUUUUACCACGACAAGUGGAUGCCAAUAAAUUGAAAAUAUUAAGGUGAUACUCUACAUGUCACCGCUGCUAUUUCUGUCCAACCCAUAGAGACCUGCUGCAAUGUAUUGCCAAGAACACUUUAAUGUUUUA